rnacentral:rRNA from 1 species
AGUAGGAGUCAGGUUUUAAACCUAAUGGCUCUUUCAUGAUUAUAUGAUAGGUGGUGCAUGGCCGUUCUUAGUUCGUGGAGUGAUCUGUCUGCUUAAUUGCGUUUCAAAUUUUUAACCGAGGACCGGGUUUUGGUUUGGCUAGUGGUCCUACGAUGACUGUGAACUGUCAUGUCUUCGGAUGUACGACUAUCGGUCUAGGAUCACAUGACUUGCCCCUGGGACUCUUUUGAACGCAACGGACGUGAUUGCAACCCCUUGUUGAGAUUAGAGAUAGUCUCGAUAUUCACUGGCCAAACUGGCUGCUUUAUGCAGUCUUGUUGAAUGGU